GCCUGAAACAUUAAUUUGAUUUCUCUUUGAUCCCGGAAAAUCAAAGAAAACUUUUCAAAUGUAUUUUUUGCACAAAUAUCAAAUAAGAUUAAAAGUAUUAGUUGUAAGUAUUGUGUCACUUUGAGCUCUCCAUAGUUGUUGAGACUGUUUACCUUGUGGCUACUGGAUAUGUUUGCGUUUUUCAAGACUUAAAGCACUGGAAUGCUCAGAGAAAGUCUGAAGCCGUUUUCACUGUUAUUUUCCUGCAGCCCUUAUUCUGAAACACCUAAGUUUGAGCUGCAAGAAUGAGCUGGACAGUGUCACAAGUGAUGCGAUGUCUGGAUUUUCCUCCUUCACCUGUUACCCCUGCAACCUGACCUCAGAUAUGUGGUCCCUCUUGACCCUCAAUCAGACUCGGCGAAUGUGUGUUGAUGCUGAGGCUGGUUCUGGCGGAGCAGGUAGAAAUGAAAGGUUUGUUUGCACUGUCACAUGUUUGCUCAGGAUGUGGAUUGUAUAUCAUAUGUACAACAUAUAUGAUGAUUUAUGUAGUAUAUGAUUAUACUAAAAUUAGAUCAAUGUGAUUGCAUGAUUGGACUGGAUUGAAAUUAAAUAACUUUUGGAGCACUAUAUAAAUAAGCUGGUGUGAAUUGUAUACAUCAUUUAGAAUUGAUUAAACAAAAAGUAUUAGAAAAAAAUCCAGCCCCACUUUCUUAAUACAUGUAAAAUAUGUACUUCCCCAUCAAAACAACACUCAAACUUAUUUCAUAGAAAAUAAAAACUUUUAUUAAAGGUCCCUCAAUUUCCGUUAAGCAUACACUAUUAUGACCAAAGUGGUCACAAUUUUCUAGUAAUAAAAAGGCACAUGGUUUUCUAAGUUUUACAAUCUUGAACACACACACAUAUAAACACACACACUUCCUGAAUCUGUUAUUGUCCCCAGAGAAAGAAAUAGAACUUCAGAAUGUGAAACUGACAGUGUUGUAACAAAACACAGGAAAAAACUCAAUCCUCUGUAAAAGUAACUUCAAACAUGAUUUUCCUAUUGCUCAAAUUUUAUUGCAUGGGUGGAAAUAUAGUAAUGUUUUCUUAAAGUGCUUCAAACUUUCCUUGAGAAGAAUUGUGAUAGGAUAUAAAAAAAUAAUCUGCGCAACUUAAAACUAAAAACACACAUCCACUUAGUGAUUCUGUACAUUUCUAUGCUUUUUCCAUUUGUGUCUUUUAGUUGUCUAUGCUGUGUGAAGAUGUUUCCAGUAAGUUUAAGGAUUUAUGUCUGGACCUGCACAUCUUCUAAGGGAUCUACAAAAGUUAAAGCAUUGGAUUUAGUGGUAGAUUUUGUGUAAAUCCAGUUAGUGGUGCAUGUCAGAUUAGGUAAAAAGACUGAAAAGUCCCUUAUUUUAAUAAGCAUAAUCAGUAUUCUGAUGAGAUGUAAUGCCAUCAUUUCCUCUAUGAUGGAUUUCACAUUCACAGAUUAAGACACAGAAUGGCUUUGCUCUAAGGUACACUCAAACAUCCACAGAGCUCUCAGACAGUGCUUGGAGAAAUAUUUACGUGGCAGCAACAUCCAACGGCCUCUGCACACAGCCAUGGCACCAUAUUUCAUUUUUAACACACAAAAGGGCAUUGUUGCCUCUGUGUCCA